AAUAAAUUUACCAGCACAUAAAUAACUUUUAAGGGCCUGUUUGGAUACACAGUAAAAUAUCUCCACGGAAUUUAUAAACUGUGGUAUCGGUCUAGAUAAAAUAGAGAAUCCUGUAACUCUAAAAAAUUCUACGGAUUCAAUUUUUAAACUGUUUGGAUACGCAUUGUACAAUUUCACAGGAUUUUUCUAAAUUGUAAGAUUAAAAGUUAAAAUUUAAAAUUUCAAAAAAAAUUUAAAAUUUAAAAUUUGACAUGUGAAAUGUGAAAUUUUGAAUUUUGAAUUUUAAAUUUUAAAUUUUCAAAUUUGAAAUUUACAAAUUUAAAAUUUAAAAUUUAAAAAUCUAAAUUUAAUUUUUAAAUUUUUAAAUUUUUAAAUUUAAAAUUUUAAAAUAAAAAAUUUAAAAUUUAAAAUUUAAAAUUUGAAAUUUAGAAUUUUAAAUUUAAAAAAUAAAUUUAAAAUUUAAAGUUUAAAAAAUAAAUUUAAAAUUUAAAGUUUAAAAUUUGAAAUUUGAACUAUGAGACUUGAGAUUUGAAAUUUNUUAAAGACUUGGUAUAUAAGAAAUGCUUAGGGUGUGUUUGGUUCCACGUAAAACUGCGAAAAAAAAAUUUUGGUGAAAAAAAAAUUUUCGGUGAAAAAAAGUUUUACGUCGCUUGGUGUUUGGUUUGUAGAAAAAGAAAAAUAAUUUUUCAUGAUGCUUGUUUGAUUGAAAGGAAAAAAAAGUAUAAAUAAAAAUUAUUAUAUAUUUUUUAUUUUAUAUAUUUUAUAUUAUUAAUAUAUAAUUAUUAUCAUAUUACAUAUAUAUUAGUAUUAUAUAUUAUAUUGCAUAUUUAAUUAUUGCAUAAUAUAUUUUAAAUAUAUUUUAUUUAUAAAUAUAAAUUAUAAUACUAAUAUAUAUGUAAUAUGAUAAUAAUUAUAUAUUAAUAAUAUAAAAUAUAUAAAAUAAAAAAUAUAUAAUAAUUUUUAUUUAUACUUUUUUUUCCUUUCAAUCAAACAAGCAUCAUGAAAAAUUAUUUUUCUUUUUCUACAAACCAAACACCAAGCGACGUAAAACUUUUUUUCACCGAAAAUUUUUUUUUCACCAAAAUUUUUUUUUCGCAGUUUUACGUGGAACCAAACACACCCUAAGCAUUUCUUAUAUACCAAGUCUUUAAAAGUCAAUAUUAGAUCAGAUGCCCAAUAAUAAAAAUAAUAUAAUUUAUUAGACAUGUUAUAUGAUAUUAACAAGAUAACAAAUAACUUUUAAAAAGAUUCUACGACAAAGCAUGGACCCACCACUACUAUCAUUAUGUACGGGUACAGCUCAUAAAGUGUACUAGGCGCUUAAGUGCUUCUAUAUUCGCUUUCCUAUAAUUCACGUGCUCUGUUACACUUUGAAAAAAAUGCUACGAGUAUGUUUGUGCACAUAAGUUCAUUAGCCCUCUUUUCAUCACAUACUUUCAAUCCAAUACUUUCAUUUUUAAAUAAAAAAAAGCGAUUGUAAAUUCACAAGCAGCAGUCGAUAAAUAAGUAUACAAAUAUGUACACAUAUAUUGAGUGUAACCAAUAAUUUGCCAUCUAAUAGUAGAUGUGCGAAACAUUUUAAGAGUUCAAAGUCGCAGACAUUAAAUCUGGAAGUUCGAGGAGCAAAAUGGAACUUGGUUAAGAGUUGAUAGACUGGAGGGGGUAGUUCACCCUGGAGAGAAAUUUGCGAUCUACAAAGUGUGUGUUACCUUUCAUUACCAUCUGGAGUCCAACUGAGUUUGUCCUGUUCCUGGAUAAAACAAAACUAGGGGGCGCACACAAGUAAUCAUCUUAUUACAGCAGGAGAGCUCCACAGCAUGGAUUGUAGUUGCUGAACUUUAAAAUAUAGCGAACGAGUCCUCGUAGCUUAUCAACACAAUAACAGAAGAAUAUGUCAAAAAUCACCACAAAAACCAAAGGCCAAAUUGAACAAAACUGAUUGAUCGAUUCAGCGAUAUUAGAAAGUAACUAAUGAUAAUUUGCACUUCGAAAUGAGCUUUUAAUAGAUGAUAAAAAAAUCCUUCUUCAGAAAAGCAGCAACAAUAGUUCAUGCAUAUUCCAUUCAGAGGAUACAAAAUCCUGAACAAGGCCAAUCGCUGGUUUAACGAGUAGUUCAAAUUUUAAUGAACUAAUUUGAUGCAAAAUCCGGUUAUUAAAGUUCUAGCGCAGCUCAUAGGAACCUAGAUGAAGCACCUUGCGGCCACUAUGCAUGCAUUAUUGCAUGAGGUCGACAAGUGUAGCCCUAUUGUUAUAUCGGUGUUUCAUCAGAAGUGCCCAUAAAAUAAAUGAAACCUCAUGAAUGCACACUAUACACAACAUUAUUUUUUUUAAAUGAAAAAACCAUACCCAUCUGUUAUUGGACGUUGAAGAGCUGUGAGAAUUUUUGGAUUGAUCAGAAUUUCCAUCCCAAGGCAUGCACCCAUGGUCUACAUCAAAAUCCCCAUUUAAUUAGGUAGCUUUGCCAGCAAGAGGAUUGCGACCAAACUGGAUGAUCAUCGCCUUGCCUUUGAAUACAUAUCCAUUAACUAGAUUCUGCAAAAGAGGGUAACUAAUUAUUAUGAACAAUGCUCAUUAUUCUAGAAUAGAACAUUAAAAUUGAAGAACAUAAUUAUCAUAACUAAAGUAUUGCAGAGUAAAAAUUGCAGAUUCUCUGCUCCCCACUUUCGAGCCUAUCUUUUUCACUUUUUUUUUUUCUUUUUCCCGAAAAUAACUUCGGGUGAAACAGUUCAUGGUAGAAAUAUAGCUGCUUCGCAGACUGAGGCCUAUUUUGGAACACACCAGCUUUUAUGUGUUCAAUGGCCCCAAAAGAAUUUCUAAAAGUGCUCGAGAGCCCCCAUCGAAGCUCUCAAGCACUAUAACAGAGAAGAAUGCCUCUGCGGCACGAUGCUUCUCCAGUGGCAGUUCCUAUCAUCAUUUAAAAACAUUUGAGGGGAGAACUCCAAAGCAUAAAAGAUGCCUUUUUUGGGCAGCUUUUGAAAUUUGUGGGCCCUCAAAGCAUCAAAGCAGGUGCUUUCUUUGGGCUACAUAUUCUCAAAAUAUGCCCAGGUAUUAAAAAACAAGCAAUACCAUACAUGAACUUAAUUUUGCAAAUAGUUUAUAACUUAAUUUUCAGCGACCCUUAAAUUAAAAAAAAAAGUUUUUAGCCUCAAAGAUAGACAAAACCAACGCAUGCUGAGCAAGAUCGACAGAUGGAAAAGUCGCAAAUGCUUGACCUCUCCUUCGUCCUUCCUGUUAUAUAAAAAAUCAAAUAAAUGUAAGAAACAGAGAUGUACUACUUCAUAUUAUUUAAUCAGGAUCGUCAGACAAACAACAAAUUCCAAAAAAAAUAAGCAUCAUUCUUAUCUCAUAUUCAUCAGCAAUCCAGUUAUAAUCUCUUGCAUACAAGCAUGGGAAGGCUUUUAUCCAAAAAAAAAAGAAAAAGCAAAGAGAAGUUAUGUGUCAUGAUAAGUUGAUCUGAUAAAUACAAACUUAUCCUGCCACGACCAUCAGAACCAAAACGUUAUAUGGAACUAGGUAGGAUGCCCAAGCCUAUUCCAGUAAACUAGUCCAUACAAUGAACCGAUGCUAAGAUGAGAUUUGAAACAAAAUUCAUAUUGAGGAUAAAUCUUAGAUUUACACCACAUUUUUGAAUGCGCCAGUAGUAUUUCUUAUUUUGAAGACAUAUUUCUUCAUAAAUCAAAUAAUUACUCUUUCUCUACGACAGACAAAUAGACUUCAGAUGACUUAGUAAUAGUUUUUCUUUUUAACCUUGUGUUUUUAUACAUAAUCCAUUUAGAUAUUGUAGAUCGUACUUUUUGUUUUGGAUUUUAAUUUUAAGGAACUGGCCAUCACAAAUUAGAUGCAGUUUCUUAUGAUGAUUUUGAAUUUUGAAUAUACAAAGAUAAUUAAAUUUUAGAUAAUUUGAAACCUAGCUAUUUAUUUUUUUCAAAAAAAAAUAAAUUUAUUAUAUUUAAAAAUUUUAUUUAAAUUAAAUAAUUUAAUAGCUUUAUAAAACAUU
rnacentral:lncRNA from 1 species